rnacentral:rRNA from 1 species
AGCUAAAAACCAAGCCUUUCUCUCUUCCCCCACAACCCCCCCCCCCAUAAAACAUUUUCUUAUCUUAGUAGAGGGGAUCAAAAAAAAAAAAAGCGCUUUACAAGAAGUACCGCAAGGGAAAGGGGAAAUAGUCCUGAAAUAGCCAUAAAGCACUAAACAGCAAAAAUUAACUCUUGGACCUUUUGCAUCAUGGUUUAACUAGUCAAAAUCAAGCAAAACGAGGGAUUAUUCUGAUCCCCCGAAACUAGGGGAGCUACUUCGAAACAGCCUUUGAGCUAACCCAUCUCUGUCGCAAAAAAGGGGGAAAAUUUCCAAGUAAAAGUGAAAAGCCUAUCGGGCCUAAAGAUAGCUGGUUAUUCAAAAAAAAAAUCUUAGUUCCCCUUUAAGUUUUCUCCUUUUUCCCAAAAAAAUUUAAAACUUAAAAGCUAUUCAAAUAAGGGACAGCUUAUUUGAAAAAGGAUACAACCUAAAACUAAGGGGUAGCCUAUUAACUUUCCCCAGGGGGCCUAAAAGCACCCCCCUUUUGAAAAGGGUUACAGCUUAACUAUCAACUUUCUCUUCAAUCCUAUUUUAUACUUCGAACCCUACCCCCGGUACUGAAUAACCUUAUACUGUUAUAAGAGAUUUAAUGUUAAAAGGAGGAACAGGGCGCAGUCCUUCUCCUUAAUGUAAGCAAACACCAAAACGGACUAACCAUUGGUUCUUAACGUCCAUGAACUUAACCUAACAACAUCCUUCGAAAACCCUAUGCCCAGACUACGUUAAUCUUCCACCAGAACAUUUCGGGAAAGAUAAAAAGAAAAAGAAGGAACUCGGCAAAUCUAAAUCCCGCCUGUUUACCAAAAACAUCGCCUCUUGCCAUAUUUUAUAAGAGGUCCAGCCUGCCCAGUGACAAUUUAACGGCCGCGGUAUUCUGACCGCGCGAAGGUAGCAUAAUCACUUGUUCUUUAAAUGGGGACUAGUAUCAACGGCAUCACGAGGAUUUUUCUGUCUCCUUUUUCUAGUCAGUGAAACUGAUCUCCCCGUGAAGAAGCGGGGAUAGCGCUAUAAGACGAGAAGACCCCAUGGAGCUUUAAACCCAGUUACACCUCAAACUCCCCUUUCCCUCAAAGUUUUUAUGAUUUGUCUUCUGGUUUUAGGUUGGGGCGACCGCGGAGUAUAACUUAACCUCCACAACGCACGGAACUUUUUCUUAUCCUAGAGCCACACCUCAAAGAAUUAACACAUUGACGUUAAUGAUCCAAUUAUUUUGAUUAAUGAACCAAGUUACCCUGGGGAUAACAGCGCAAUCCAUUUCUAGAGCCCCUAUCGACAAAUGGGUUUACGACCUCGAUGUUGGAUCAGGGUGUCCCAGUGGUGCA